GACCCGAGAAGCGCUUCUCCAUAGAGCCAAGCCCCGAGAUUUCCUAGAGUGGAGGUGAACUUUUAUGGCAGUGAAACAACGGGCUUCUCACUCACCAACCUGGGAGAAUGUGACCGGAACACACAGGGAUCGGUCCCAUUCCAAGCAGCCUGGACCUCCGGUCUACGGGCCAAUGCGCACUGGCCUCUAGUCCAGUCAGCACCAGGAACACCGCAGGCGGGUUCUCCACAGCAGUGUUGUUUCCCGUUCCCUGAACUUUGUCAGGCUAAUUCUUGGCAUCUAAUGUUUUCACGACACACAGAGGAGAACACAAAUAUCGCGUAUUCAAAAGCAAUACCGUGUGCCUCUCUGUGACCAUUCCCAUUCUUUCCUGAGACAAAGUGAGGUUGCGCAUCUACUCCUUUGGGAAAGUGUGGAAUGUGGCCACUGCUCUCUGCUGGAUGCACAGAAUGGCCAAAUGGACCCAAUCAUGUGCAUGUUCUAGUGACUGGAACAAAGGCAGAUGCCCUAAGCCAGGACACGGUGAAGCACGCUGCCCUUGGUCUUACAGUAAUGUUUUCUUUUUUUUUCUUUUGGAAUGAGAUCUACACCCACUUAGGCACCCUUGUGGGUUGACUGGUAACCUACUAUUCUAAAUAUGGCUAUCUUUUACGUUUCACCUCGUAGGCCACCCUUCCCUCCCGAUGCCCUUUUCCAAAACUUGCAUAUUACUCUAUUUGUUUUCAUUUCUCCUGUUGCCCAAACCUAACAUUUCCAUUUCAGUCUAUCCACUUUCCCUAGCAGAGAGCAAAGAAGGAACACACAUCUCCUCUGCCCGUGGCACAGUCCACGAUGCUCUCCUUUGGGAGUCUAAUUCCAGGUCGUUUUCAUCAUCCAAGCCUGAAUUGAUUUCUGUAAGCAUUUCAAGGAUUUGAUAGUGAGAGGUGGCAUCUGGCCAUCUCACUCUCCGAGUCUACCUGUUCUGUGUAGAGAUGCAGAGCAUGGUUCACUCCGCUGACUUUCACAGUGACUGAGAGAUAUCUCGUGCGUAGAUCAUCCCGGUAUGUAACAUAUUAACAUCAGCACGGUGGAGAAAUUGCUGACCAGUCAGAAGAAAAAAAAAACAUCCCUGAGCCAUCUGCGUUAUGCCAUACAGUACUAUUGGCAAUUCAAUCAUGAUAGUCUCAAUCACACAAAGGAACCAUUAUUGACCUAUAAUAAAAAGGCAAUUUC
ensembl:antisense Gm26653 predicted gene, 26653